rnacentral:lncRNA from 1 species
GCUUUACACAGAAGGCGUCUGCCCCGCCUGCUGGGAACACACACUCCACAUCCACAUCCCGGAGCCUCGGACUGAGAAUCAACUUAUUAUCUUUUAUCAAAGAGCCCAUGUGGAGUGCCAGAGGUUCAAUGCAGAUGUCAGCAGUCUCUGACGUUUGAAAAGAUGACCAGAAUAAAAAGAAACAACCCUCUCAGGCUCAGUAGGAACAGAAGCAACCUAGAACUUCCACGAUCAGUGGCUCAGGCUGCAAAACUCGCAUGUCUAAGCGAGGUCACAUUCUAAGACACUGGACUUCAACACAUCCUUGUUGGAAGACAUAAUGCAAACUAUAGCAAUCAAGAAACAGUGUUCAAGACACGCUUUUAAGUAAAAGUUGGAAUGAAGCAUGGGGACUUGAUAACUCAGAAUUCUGGCUCCUUGAAUAAAGAACCCCAGGAGUCAUCCUGUGAAUGAUCUCCAAACGAAACUGUGAAAUACAGUGGACAUGGACUUUACACCACAUCAGAAUCAGAUGCUAAACCGGUCCCUCUGGAGAUCACACCAUCCUUCCAGUGCUAGGUUUGCAUCUGGAAGGUUGGGUAUUUGGUACAGAGGGACUGGACCCAGAAGAUGUGCAAAUAGGACCAUGAGCUAUUGGAUAGUGCUGUCUGUGUUCAGGGUUGGUCUUCCUUCCUCUGGAAACAGCCUCACAGACAUAUCCAAAGGGAUGCCUCCCAAAUCAUCCCAACUCUAAUCGAGCUGAUAAUGAAGAUUCACCAUCACAGUAAUCCAGUUAAAAUGAAGCUAUUAGGAUGAACCCUACUUUACUAUGACUGGCAUUUUCAUCAGAAGGGGAAGAGAAACCUGGGAUAGAUCAUUUUCUUGUAGUCCUCAGAAAGAACCAAUACUGUCAAUGUCUGGCUUUUGCCUCUAGCCUCCCAAAUGUGAAGAGAAUAAACCAUUUGGUCUGAGGAACUUCA